CUCCCAUCCGUGUCUAUUGUACCCUGUUGCUUCGGCGGGCCCGCCGCUUGUCGGCCGCCGGGGGGGCGCCUCUGCCCCCCGGGCCCGUGCCCGCCGGAGACCCCAACACGAACACUGUCUGAAAGCGUGCAGUCUGAGUUGAUUGAAUGCAAUCAGUUAAAACUUUCAACAAUGGAUCUCUUGGUUCCGGCAUCGAUGAAGAACGCAGCGAAAUGCGAUAACUAAUGUGAAUUGCAGAAUUCAGUGAAUCAUCGAGUCUUUGAACGCACAUUGCGCCCCCUGGUAUUCCGGGGGGCAUGCCUGUCCGAGCGUCAUUGCUGCCCUCAAGCCCGGCUUGUGUGUUGGGUCGCCGUCCCCCUCUCCGGGGGGACGGGCCCGAAAGGCAGCGGCGGCACCGCGUCCGAUCCUCGAGCGUAUGGGGCUUUGUCACAUGCUCUGUAGGAUUGGCCGGCGCCUGCCGACGUUUUCCAACCAUUCUUUCCAGGUUGACCUCGGAUCAGGUAGGGAUACCCGCUGAACUUAAGCAUAUCA
rnacentral:rRNA from 1 species